GUGCCAGCAGCCGCGGUAAUACGGAGGGUGCAAGCGUUAAUCGGAAUUACUGGGCGUAAAGCGCACGCAGGCGGUCUGUCAAGUCGGAUGUGAAAUCCCCGGGCUCAACCUGGGAACUGCAUUCGAAACUGGCAGGCUGGAGUCUUGUAGAGGGGGGUAGAAUUCCAGGUGUAGCGGUGAAAUGCGUAGAGAUCUAGAGGAAUACCGGUGGCGAAGGCGGCCCCCUGGACAAAAGACCGACGCUCAGGUGCGAAAGCGUGGGGAGCAAAACAGGAUUAGAUACCCUGGUAGUCC
rnacentral:rRNA from 1 species